rnacentral:lncRNA from 1 species
CCAGAGCCCUACUCACUUCCACCCCCCAGCUAUCGGUAGUUCAGCUGUCUCUCAUCACUCAUGGAUUCUACUGCUUAUUAGAAAUCUUCACCUGCAUGUGUCACUGGCACUCUCUAACGUCCCACAUCUAAGGCUGAACAUCACUGCUCUUUUACUGCCAAUCUUUGCCAUUUCAGUAAAUCCACCUAGUGAUCCAUGCCAUCUCCCCUUCUCUUUUACCCACUGUGCUCAAUACACAUCACUAAGUCCUUUCUAUUUUACCUAGAAAACAUCAAUUUCAAAUAGGUCCACUUCUUACCUCCUGCAUUUGGCACCAUCCUGCUGCUUCAGUCACCAUCACCACUCAGUGGCACCAGUCCAUAAACUCACUUUGCUUGUCCCCUGCUUCCAUUCUUACUCUCCCUCAAUGAAUUUUCCAAUCGCAGCCAGAUUAAGCUUUCAGAAAUGCGGACCUGAGUCAUGUCACUACCCCCUUAACACCCUCCACUGGGCUCCAGUGCACUUAGGAUACAGAACAUGGUCUCGAAGACAUUCAUCUGUAAAGGAAUGCUGCCUCAUUUUGGGACAGCCCCCGAUAUAAAUCAGGAUGGGCCUUCUUUCAACAUCUUGGACUAGCCUAGCUUUCCCACUGCUGGGCCCUCACACACGCUGUCCUCUUGUCAGGAGCAUUCUUCCCUCCAGUCCUCAGCUGCCCACCUACUUUUCCAUCCUUUAGAUCCUGACUCAAACAUCGAUUCUUUACAGGCACCUUCCUUAAAUCUUAAUUAUAUUAGGUCUCUCCGUUAGACUCUCAGGUAGUUUUUUUCCUCACUGCAUUUGCCAAGUUUAUAAUCAUGUAUCUGUAGACAACAAGAGGGAGCCUGGAGAUGACUUCAGGCAGUUCAUUUUCUUUUGUAAAUCUCUAAAAUAAGCCUUUAGAAAUGAAACCAAGUUUUUUAUUCCAGGCAGUUCAUUUUCUUUUGUAAAUCUCUAAAAUAAGCCUUUAGAAAUGAAACCAAGUUUUUUAUUCCAGGCAGUUCAUUUUCGUUUGUAAAUCUCUAAAAUAACCCUUUAGAAAUGAAACCAAGUUUUACACCUAAAAAAAUCAUGAUUCAAAGAAUUGAGGCCCAAUUUGAAUAAGUUUUGCCACACAAAAAGCUUAUUUCUGUUAAAUUUCUUAAUGAAAUGGCAAAAAGGCAUCUCAAAACC